rnacentral:lncRNA from 1 species
UCUUUCACAACCAAUUAAGACAAAUGACAUCCUUCCUCUCAUACCAAUAUUUAUGUCUGACCUCAUAAUCAUCGCCACAAAACCAAUUUCAUAAGCAACAACUCAAGCCCAAUUCAAAACAUCAUCACGGGUAUCAAACACCUACAAUGCAAUCCAAACAUCUUUACUCUUCAAGAGACAUUCAUUAACUUACUUUAACAACAAAAAAUCAUAUUAAUAUCUGAAAAGUAUUGAAGGUAUCAGAACAAUCAACAUGUUUUGAUUUCACACUAGCUUCGUCUUCAUUUUGUUCAUUCAUAUCAGUUUCUUCACACAUUAUAAUGUCAUGCAUCCACUGAUCUUCAUCCAUCUUAACAAAACAUUGAAAAAUUUUAAUGACAAACAAAUGACCCCUAACCACACGAUACAUAUACUACACAAUUUUUUAAUUUUUCUACUGCAUUUAAUAAUAUAAUACAUUAAAAUUGAUAAUCAUACAUACAUACAUACAUACAUACAUAUUAAAAAACCAACAAAAUCAAGUUUUUGUACUUAAAAUUGAUAACCAUGUAAUACAUUAAAAUCGAUAACCAUAUAUAUUAAAAAUACAAAUAUUUUUGUACUUAAUUGUAAUUCAGAAAAUUAUAAGCACUAAAAAAAUCAAGUUUAAAAUAAAAACGACUCAAAUAAAUUAUAAGUCUAAAUUAUUUUAAAAUAAAUAUCACUUUCAAACUAUAAAAACAAACUCUUACAAAUGAAUAAUGAAACUAUACCUAUUUAAUUUUUUUUAAAAUAAUACUAAUUAUAUUUAAAUAAACAAUAAUUAAAAAAAAACAAAAACAAAUACUUACCGUUUGUCAAUCCAUAAGCAACAUACAAAUUGUCAAUCCGUAAGUUACUUAUGAAUUACUUACUAAUUGUCAAUCCAUAAGUUAUAUAAAACUUUUGAAUUAUCAAUUUGUAAAUUUUAUAUAAAUUAUCAAUCCCUAAGUUGUAUAUGCAACAAAAAAUCUAGAUCCAAUAGAAGUUGUAGCUUACCUUUGCCAUUAACAACCACACCAAUCACCACCACUUGUCGAUGUACCAUCGUAACACUUGCAGCUCAACCAAAGUGGACACAAAGCACCUC